CUGCCAGGGAAGUCCAAAUUUUUUUCUUAUCUUAUUGCAAAUGCUAGGAUUUCCGCUAGCAGGAUGAGGAGUUGAUAUCCUUAUCUUGUACCAAUCUUAGGGGAAAAGUGUGUUCAGUCUUUUACAAGUAUGAUAUUACUUGCAAAAGUAAUGAAGUAUGAUAUUAGCUUAUGUUUGUCAUGGAUGUCCUUUACCAGAAGGAAGAAGCUCCUUCCUAUCUCUAAUUUGCUGAGAAUUUAUAUUAUGACUGAAUUUUGUCAAAUGUUUUGUUCUGCAUCUACUGGGAUGAUCACAGUUUUCCUUUUGUAAUGUAUAAAUAUGGUGACUCAUACUGAUUGAUUUUCUAAUGUUCAACCAACUCUGCAUUCUUAUGAUAAACCUCACUUGGUUAUAAUGUACUAUCCUUUUUACAUAGUUAAUUUGCAAAUAUUUUUAAAGGAUUUUUCCAUCUAUGAUCAUAAGGGAUACUAGAUUAGUUUUCUUUUUGUAAUAACUUCGAUUUUGGUAUUGGGGCCAUUCCAGUUUCAUAAAAUUAGUUGGGAAAUAUGCCUUCUUCAUUUAAUUUCUAAAAGAAUUUGACUAAGUAUCAUUAUUUCUUUGAGUAUUAUUUUUUUCUUAAAGUAUGGUAGAAUUCACCAGUGAAGCCAGCUGGGCCUGGAGUUUUUUUCCUAGGAAGUUUUUAAAUUACAAAUUUAUUUCUAACUAAACAUUCCCCUGGACAAGAUGAUCACUAAGAAGUACCAAGCUUGAAUAUCCCAAAAUACUAUAUAAGGAUGAAGUGCAUAAACUACUGUUUAAUUUUAAAAUUUACACAUUUUGAUAAGCAAGGUGGUUUAAAAUAUUCACGAAGGCCACAGAUUACCCACAAUUAUGAAAAAUACCAUAACAUGUUCUAUUGUGUCCUAAAUUUAAUAUUUGCGAGUUUGUGAGUUAGAUGACAUGUGCACAUGCUGGAAAGGUUUCUUUCCCUAAUGUGUCUGGUGCCUAUAAAACUGGUCUCAAACAUCUGGAAAGAUUGGGUUUACAAAAUAAAGAUGGAAUAAAAAGGAGUCCACAAUUAAAUAACAUGUUCAGCAAUUGGGUAAUCAGUUCACAAACUUGAAUUUCCCUGAUGUAUUGUUGAACAAACUGCCUGAAGCAGAUUUUCACAUCUACUUUCUGAAUGUUUUCCAUAACUGAGAAACUCAUAUGGUCUCUUUUUCUUUUUCCUGCCUCCUGGGGAUAGAAACUUGGCAACUGUGCUUGGGGUAUUUUAAUCAGGGCCUUCCUGGUAAGGACUAGAACCGUUUCUGCUCCUUAGAGAUACACGGCUCACCGGCCUCACUGCUCGCCGUGCCCUAAUUACAGCGGCUACCGCAGUAGCUUCCAGGUAAGGGGAAACAUGAUUAAGGAAUAAAACUUCACUAAUCCACAAUAAAGAACACAGAAUGUAGGAGAGGAGGAGAAUAAGAGACGACAAGGUGCAUCAGGAGAAAGCACCACCUAAAGUUUUAAGUCAGUUUUAUUACUCUCAGUAUUUAUCACAAAUAAAGCCAAUAUAAAUACAAAACACGAGUUUUGGAGAAUGGAUCUAAGUACUCAGUGAGAACCCAUAAGCACUUAAACUAUUUGCAGACAUGAGAGUGCAAAAAUAAGAUUCCUCUAAGUGUUUAAAUAACACCCUUCCUUAAAGUUGUCAUUUCGAAGAUUUUCAAGCUGUGGUUGGUGGAUCCCUGGGAGAUACAGUACCCCUGCAGGGGGUCCACAAGCUCCAAACUAUUUUCAAGCUAAGGCUACAACGCUACUUGCAUUUUCACUGUGUCAACAUUUGCACUGAUGAUUUCAAUGCAAAGGUGGGUAAAAGCCUUGGCUCCUCAGCACCAGUCAGGGUGGUACCAGCAAACCGUCCAGCAGCCGCUGCACUCUUCACCGCCAUGCACAAGCAGGUAAAAAAAUCCCAGCUGCACUUAAGGAUUUCCUUGAUCAAGGAGCGAAAGCAAUUUCUUUUAUUUAAAUCUUGACCUUGGAGUGCAAGUAGGUUAAAUGCUCUGUGUGAUGAAAGUCAAGUGUGGCUGAAGUACUUCGGCUGUCGCCGAGGCUCAGGAAUCAUCUCAAGGAAAAGCGCUGUGUGACUGUCCGAGUUGCGAGCAGAACUAGCUGCCUUUUUCUCAAUUUUUUACCCAAAAGAACCACUAUGAACUAUGGUUAUUCAGACUUGGGUACUGACAGCACAUAAAUGAAGUGAACCUGUCACUUCAAGGGAAAGAUUGACAGUGCUUGUAGCCAACGAUAAAAUUUGAACUUUAAAGCAAAAAUUAGAAUUGUAGAGAAUUUGUCUGCCACUAUGACAAGCUUCCCAACACUCAGUUUUCUAAAGAGAUCACUGGUAAUAUUAAAUUAACAAAGGUGUGUGUGUGUGCGUGCGUGUGUGUGUGUGUGUGUGUGUGUGUGUGUGUAAUAAGGUGUGUAGACAUUUGGAAGACCCGCAUAAUUCAGUGAGACAAUAUUUUCCAAAUGACCAAUGCAUGAUAUUGCAAAGUAAUAUGCGGGAAAGAUCCAAUAGAUUUUAACGUAAGAGAGUGUUAAAAACCAGACAGCAGGCCCAAAAUGGAGUCGUUUGUGCUAAGCCCAAACAGAGACUUAAUUUAAUUAGUUUCAGCUCACCCAGAAGAGGAAUCUUAAACCAGCCAAUCAGUAAUCUGCUAACGAGCACUAGCCAGGUCAUUUGCCUGAUAGACGCCAGGCAUGCCCUAAAGAAACGUGACGUUGCCACAACCAAUCCCCCUUUAGUCUAGUUGAACUUUCUUGUUCUUAUUCCCUUCUGGCUGGAAAAGUUUUUCAUUUUGUACAGUUCCCUGGAGCUUCUUUCUGUCUGCUAGAAUAGAUGCUGCCCAAUUCGUGAAUCAUUCAAGAAAGCCAAUAAGAUCUUUAAAAUUUACUCAUUUGAAUUUUGUUUUUUAACAAGAACACGGAAAGUUCAUUGACAGGGUUUCAGAUUCCACAUUGCAACUAACUUUUAAGAAACCACCACUUGUUGGUUUUUGGAGUAGUAUCAAAGCAGAGUAUCCACAACUAUCUAAAAGGCUAAUAUACAAUUCCUUCCUUUUCUGACCUCACAUGUGAAAGGCUGCAUAUUCUUUACACACUUCCACUCAAACAGUGUAUGGAAACAGACCGAAUGCAGAACAAGAUGUGAAAAUCCAGUUGUCUUCUCUCAAGCCAGACAUCAAAGAGAUUUGCAAAAAUGUAAAACAGUACCAUACUCCUCACUGACUUUUACUGUUUGUUUCAUUAGAAACAUGUCAUAUGUUAAUAUAUAAUGGGCUUAUUUUUAUUUUAAAAAUAAUAAAAUUAUUUUUAAAUUU